CGUAUGGAGCGAGCGUUGUCCGGAAUUAUUGGGCGUAAAGGGUACGCAGGCGGUUUAAUAAGUCGAAUGUUAAGAUCGGGCUCAACCCGUAAGCAUUGGAAACUGAUAAACUUGAGUAGUGGAGAGGAAAGUGGAAUUCCUAGUGUAGUGGUGAAAUACGUAGAUAUUAGGAGGAAUACCAGUAGCGAAGGCGACUUUCUGGACACAAACUGACGCUGAGGUACGAAAGCGUGGGGAGCAAACAGGAUU
rnacentral:rRNA from 1 species